ACUCAAUAGAUACCCCGGUAGUCCACGCCGUAAACGAUGAUGACUAGCUGUCGGGGCGCUUAGCGUUCCGGUGGCGCAGCUAACGCGUUAAGUCAUCCGCCUGGGGAGUACGGCCGCAAGGUUAAAACUCAAAGAAAUUGACGGGGGCCUGCACAAGCGGUGGAGCAUGUGGUUUAAUUCGAAGCAACGCGCAGAACCUUACCAGCGUUUGACAUGGUAGGACGGUUUCCGGAGAUGGAUUCCGUUCCCUUACGGGACCUACACACAGGUGCUGCAUGGCUGUCGUCAGCUCGUGUCGUGA
rnacentral:rRNA from 1 species